rnacentral:rRNA from 1 species
GAUGAACGCUGGCGGCGUGCCUAAUACAUGCAAGUCGAGCGAACGGACGAGAAGCUUGCUUCUCUGAUGUUAGCGGCGGACGGGUGAGUAACACGUGGAUAACCUACCUAUAAGACUGGGAUAACUUCGGGAAACCGGAGCUAAUACCGGAUAAUAUUUUGAACCGCAUGGUUCAAAAGUGAAAGAAGGUCUUGCUGUCACUUAUAGAUGGAUCCGCGCUGCAUUAGCUAGUUGGUAAGGUAACGGCUUACCAAGGCAACGAUGCAUAGCCGACCUGAGAGGGGGAUCGGCCGCACUAGAACUGAGCCACGGUCCAGACUCCUACGGGAGGCAGCAGUAGGGAAUCUUCCGCAAUGAGCGAAAGCCUGGCGGAGCAACGCCGCGUGAGUGAUGAAGGUCUUCGGAUCGUAAAACUCUGUUAUUAGGGAAGAACAUAUGUGUAAGUAACUGUGCACAUCUUGACGGUACCUAAUCAGAAAGCCACGGCUAACUACGUG